GGAAAAUAUAAAAAGCGGCUUUUAUUGCUAAAAACACCACAAAUACAUUAAAGACAUCAUCGCAUUGAAAGACAACACAGCUUCACACAACAAGCAGUUCAAAAAAGCUUCACACAGAAAACAUAGGAAAUUGAUAAAAAAGACAUCAUCAUGCAACUCAAGCUCCGCUGAUCUCAAUAGACUUGACCUCAGGCUUCUUCUCCUCCGCCUUCGGAAUAGUAACAGUCAGGACUCCAUUUUCCAUUGAAGCCUUCACUUCAUCAACCUUAGCAUUCUCUGGUAACCAGAAUCUCCUCAGAAACUUGCCUCUACCCCUCUCCACCCGGUGCCACUUAUCGUUUUUCUCCUCCUUCUCCAUACUUCUUUCUCCGCUUAUUUGAAGAACCCUUCCUUCCUCAAUCUCAACUUUCACCUCCUCUUUCUUUAGCCCUGGAAGAUCUGCCUUGAACACAUGGGCUUCUGGGGUCUCUUUCCA
rnacentral:misc_RNA from 1 species